AGAUUGAACGCUGGCGGCAUGCUUUACACAUGCAAGUCGAACGGUAACAGGCCGCAAGGUGCUGACGAGUGGCGAACGGGUGAGUAAUGUAUCGGAACGUGCCCAGUCGUGGGGGAUAACGCAGCGAAAGCUGCGCUAAUACCGCAUACGAUCUAUGGAUGAAAGCGGGGGACCGUAAGGCCUCGCGCGAUUGGAGCGGCCGAUAUCAGAUUAGGUAGUUGGUGGGUAAAGCUCACCAAGCCAACGAUCUGUAGCUGGUCUGAGAGGACGACCAGCCACACGUGGACUGAGACACGGCCCAGACUCCGUACGGGAGCAGCAGGUGGGAAUUUUGGACAAGUGGGCACAAGCCGUAGAUCCGAGAC
rnacentral:rRNA from 1 species